UACGUAGGGUGCAAGCGUUAAUCGGAAUUACUGGGCGUAAAGCGUGCGCAGGCGGUUUUGUAAGUUUGUCGUGAAAUCCCCGGGCUCAACCUGGGAAUUGCGAUGAAGACUGCAAGGCUAGAAUCUGGCAGAGGGGGGUAGAAUUCCACGUGUAGCAGUGAAAUGCGUAGAGAUGUGGAGGAACACCGAUGGCGAAGGCAGCCCCCUGGGUCAAGAUUGACGGCUC
rnacentral:rRNA from 1 species